UGAGGGAAAGGCGAAAAGAACCCCGGCGAGGGGAGUGAAAAAGAACCUGAAACCGUGUACGUACAAGCAGUGGGAGCCCCACCACUAAGCCAGUGGUGAACUCCACAUCCGCAUCCUUUGCUGAGGAUACGGUUAACGGAGCGAAAGCGACGUUCAACCGCAAAACAAGCAGAGGGGGCUUAGUGGUGGGGUGACUGCGUACCUUUUGUAUAAUGGGUCAGCGACUUAUAUUCUGUAGCAAGGUUAACCGUAUAGGGGAGCCGGAGGGAAACCGAG
rnacentral:rRNA from 1 species